AGCAGUCGCCGCGGGAAUACAGAGGGUGCGAGCGUUAAUCGGAUUUACUGGGCGUAAAGCGUGCGUAGGCGGCUUCUUAAGUCGGAUGUGAAAUCCCUGAGCUUAACUUAGGAAUUGCAUUUGAUACUGGGAAGCUAGAGUAUGGGAGAGGAUGGUAGAAUUCCAGGUGUAGCGGUGAAAUGCGUAGAGAUCUGGAGGAAUACCGAUGGCGAAGGCAGCCAUCUGGCCUAAUACUGACGCUGAGGUACGAAAGCAUGGGGAGCAAACAGGAUUAGAUACCCCUGUAGUCCCUGUCUCUUAUAC
rnacentral:rRNA from 1 species